rnacentral:tRNA from 1 species
AAUUAUAUAUUCAAUUAUGAUAUUAAAUUGCAAAUUUAAAGGUGUUUAAGACUAUAAUUU